CGGUUUCAGUGGCAAUUUGGCGGCGGGUAUGCUGAAGGCACGGGACCGGCGGACCUCCCACAGGCAUGCCGCCAAAAGCCUCCUGUCUGCCAUGCUUGGGGUGGCAAAAUACAUAGAGCUUCCCUUGUAUAGUGUCUGAGUGUACAUUCAUCAAACAUUUUCUUGGGUCCCAAGAGACUGUCUCUCACUAGGAACCAUCAUGCAGCACAAGGUGGUUAUCCUUGUGGUCAACCCACCCCACUUUGGCUGCAGACUUGGGACCAGCAGCCAAAUCAAAGUGCAGGAGCUCUUUAAGAAAGACCUCUUCUUCCAGGGACAAAUGAUUCAAUGAAGCUAGCUUGUCUGAAAGCAGCAGAGACAAUAGCCAAUUUGAUUUUUGACAUUUAGGGAGUGGAGAGAAAGAAAAUAACCGAGGUCUAGAAAUUGGAUAAUGUUAAAAUAAUGUGACUGGAGCCAACUGUCUUAGAAGAAAACAUUUAUGUCAGGGAAGACAAGAUCUUUCCUUUAAGU